rnacentral:rRNA from 1 species
GAGUUUGAUCCUGGCUCAGGAUGAACGCUGGCGGUGUGCUUAAUACAUGCAAGUCGAGCGGUAAGGCCUCUUCGGAGGUACACGAGCGGCGGACGGCUGAGUAACGCGUAGGAACGUACCCCAAGUGAGGGAUAAGCACCAGAAAUGGUGUCUAAUACCGCAUGUGAUCUUCGGAUUAAAGCUUCGGCGCUUUGGGAACGGCCUGCGUAUGAUUAGCUUGUUGGUGAGGUAAUGGCUCACCAAGGCAAUGAUCAUUAGCUGGUCUGAGAGGAUGAUCAGCCAGACUGGGACUGAGACACGGGCCCAGACUCCUACGGGAGGCAGCAGUAGGGGAAUUUUCCACAAUGGGCGCAAGCCUGAUGGAGCAACACCGCGUGCAGGAUGAAUGCCUUAGGGUUGUAAACUGCUUUUAUAUGUGACGAUUAUGACGGUAGCAUAUGAAUAAGGAUCGGCUAACUCCGUGCCAGCAGCCGCCGCAGUAAC